rnacentral:tRNA from 1 species
GGCUCGCUGGCGCAAUGGUAGCGCGCAGCCCUCCUAAGGCUGAGGCUGUGGGUUCGAGUCCCACGCGGGUCG